UGGGGAAUAUUGGACAAUGGACCAAGAGUCUGAUCCAGCAAUUCUGUGUGCACGAUGACGUUUUUCGGAAUGUAAAGUGCUUUCAGUUGGGAAGAAAAAAAUGACGGUACCAACAGAAGAAGUGACGGCUAAAUACGUGCCAGCAGCCGCGGUAAUACGUAUGUCACAAGCGUUAUCCGGAUUUAUUGGGCGUAAAGCGCGUCUAGGUGGUUAUGUAAGUCUGAUGUGAAAAUGCAGGGCUCAACUCUGUAUUGCGUUGGAAACUGUGUAACUAGAGUACUGGAGAGGUAAGCGGAACUACAAGUGUAGAGGUGAAAUUCGUAGAUAUUUGUAGGAAUGCCGAUGGGGAAGCCAGCUUACUGGACAGAUACUGACGCUGAAGCGCGAAAGCGUGGGUAGCAAACAGGAUUAGAUACCCUGGUAGUCCACGCCGUAAACGAUGAUUACUAGGUGUUGGGGGUCGAACCUCAGCGCCCAAGCAAACGCGAUAAGUAAUCCGCCUGGGGAGUACGUACGCAAGUAUG
rnacentral:rRNA from 1 species